rnacentral:rRNA from 1 species
UACGGAGGGUGCAAGCGUUAUCCGGAUUCACUGGGUUUAAAGGGUGCGUAGGUGGGCAAGUAAGUCAGUGGUGAAAUCUCCGGGCUUAACCCGGAAACUGCCAUUAAUACUAUUUGUCUUGAAUACUGUGGAGGUCAGCGGAAUAUGUCAUGUAGCGGUGAAAUGCUUAGAUAUGACAUAGAACACCGAUUGCGAAGGCAGCUUACUAAGCAAGCAUUGACGCUGAGGCACGAAAGCGUGGGGAUCAAACAGG